rnacentral:lncRNA from 1 species
UUUUUUUUUUUUUUGAGACGCAGUCUCGCUCUGUCGCCCAGGCUGGAGUGCAGAGCCGUGAUCUCGGCUCACUGCAAGCUCCGCCUCCCAGGUUCACAUCAUUCUUCUGCCUCAGCCUCCCGAGUAGCUGGGACUACAGGCGCCCGCCACCACAUCCCGGCUAAUUUUUUGUAUUUUUAGUAGAGAUGGGGUUUCACUGUGUUAGCCAGGAUGGUCUCGAUCUCCUGACCUCAUGAUCCACCCGCCUCGGUCUCCCAAAGUGCUGGGAUUACAGGUGUGAGCCAUUGCGCCUGGCCAAGAGUCUGCUUUUAAGAUGGCUCACUCAUAUGGUUGGCAGAUUGAUUCUGUCUGUUGGCUCAGGGCUGAGGGCCCAGGGCUUUGGCUCCUCUUGAUGUGACUUGGGCUUCCUCAUAACAUGGUGACUGGGUUUCAAGAGUAACUAUUCCAAGAGAGUGAGGUAGUAUUUUUAUAGCAGCCUCAGAAGCCACAUAUUAUUACUUUUUAGUACUAGACUGGUCAAGGCAAGAACAAAUUUCUGCCUAGGUUCAAGGAGGGAUGAUAAAAACUCCAUCUCUUGAUAGGGAAGUGCAAAGUUCUAGAAGAACAUGUGUGACAGAUAUACUGUUGCAUUGACAUUUGGAAAAUAUAAUCUGCCACUGGUAGGGAUGACAUAAUUUAGCAAAUUAGCUAGGGGCAGUGAGGGAGAAUGAUACACCGAUGUCUCUGGGUUGGGUGACCCAUGGUGCCAUUAGUAGAACUAGUGGAAAACAGAAGGAAGAAUAUGUUAGGGGAGAUUAUUGACUCUGAGAAGCCCAUAGUAGUCAGAAGGCUGGAGCCUAGAAGAGGCAUAAGGGAGUCUUAUACAGAAAAGUCACAGCUAAAACUGAGACUAGAAGAAAUGGCCAAGGAUGAGAAAGAAAAUCAUAACAGAUUUUUAGAAAACAAAAAUUUCUUUUUUGAGAGUGAGUCUCCUCUGUUACCUAGGUUAGAGUGCAGUGGCACG